rnacentral:tRNA from 1 species
UGGUAGAGCAGCUGACUCUUAAUCAGCGGGUCCAAGGUUCGAGUCCUUGUGCGCCCACCA